AAUAUUUUGGCAGAGACUCCAUCUCAAAAAAAAACAACAAAAAAAAAACGUGAACGUCAGCAUCCUCUGGGGCUCCCAGGACGCCGUGACUUCCUGGCCGCGGUGCUUACCAGGGUCUGGGCAGUGGCCCUGAACUCUCUACCUCAAAGAUUUCUUCUCUGGACACUUCGAUGCGGCAAUGACCAGCUUGGGGCUGCUGAAGCGACAGUUCGUGUCUGAGGACUUUCAGCUUCUGGACUAGAUCUCUUUCGUAUCUCUGGGCAGGAAGCUCCUCGUCCUCCAGAGAGCCCUCACUGGGCAGUGGCAGCGGCUGGCUGGGCUCCUUGAGUUGGCACUGGUGACUUGAGAAGAAGAGAUGCAGAAAGUCACUCCGAAGCCCCGGCCAGGGGAGCUGCAAGCACCCACGUACGCGACAGGGUCAGAGGAGAGAGCUAGCUGCACACAACUUCAGGGAGAAUUUGUUUCCCUGAUGACGUAACCAGGUACCUAGCUAGCUGUGUCAAACUUGCUGAUGGCCACAUUAGCCUAAAUGUAUGUCUACAGUAC
rnacentral:lncRNA from 1 species